rnacentral:lncRNA from 1 species
CAAAAUUCAAAAAUAAAACCCUCUCUUGCCGUCUUCAAUCACCCACGUAAUUAGUGAUUAAAAUAUUCCCCCAAAAUUUCAUUCCCUCUCUUGCGGUCUUCAAUCUUCUUUACCUCCAAAAAAUAUUCUCCCAAAAUUAUUCAAUUCCCUCCCUUUGAGAGAGUUGCUUAAUUUGCCUAAACCUAAUUUCUUCAAUUGAUGCACAGUAUAUUGAUCAUCAAGAAAUUUCGGCUUCAUGUACAGAUUUUUGUGAUAUUCUUCAAUUGAUGCCCUCUUUGCAAUAAGCUCUUCCGCGCCUACAUACGUGUGAGUUGCUCUCUUUUGUCGUAAUUUUUUGAAAUCAUAUUAUUUGUUUUUCUACUUGGUCCCAAUUUUAGUGCUAAUUAGUCAAAUUUUGGUUUUCUUCGGAUUAUCGGGUUUCAUUAUUUGUUUCUGGACUCGAGUUUGCAUUUUGUGUUGUGGAUUCUAGAUUUUGUCGCAUGAAUUACGGUCUAUUUCUCUUGGAAUUUUUGACGUUUUCAUGGGUUUUUAGUAAUUACAUAUAUGUUCGUACGUUUCUCAUUUUAGUAAUAACAAGACAAUGAUCUUUUUGCUGUUUUCUUCUGUUGUCUUGUUCUAUUCGGUUAAAUCUCAAGUUCUUUAUGAUUUUGGAUAGUUCUCUCUCUCUCUCAAUUUUUUUUUUUUUUUUGGGUUUAUGGAAGUUUUCAUUUAGUUCUUCAUUCUUUCAAUCUAUAUGAAUUCUGAGUUUUUGUUGAUCAGAGUUUUCUUGAAGAAGCUGAUCGAAUAAAUGCAAGUUGAUUAAUUGCCUUUUUUUCAGACAAUAAUAAACAUAAAACAUAAUCUUCCUGAGAAUUUAAGUGCCUUGCAGCAAAAAUAUGUAAGCUUUUUGCCUCUGUACAUGAGUAUGAACUGAGAGCUUAUAUUCUGCUUAGCCUUGCCAUAAUCUAUCGUUGAAUUUCUUGAUCGAGAUGAAUAGGAAAAUAUGCAAAUCAAUCCUCUUCUUCAUUGCCUAUUAAAGAGUUAGUCGUUUUGGUUAUUACUUUUACGAGGGUGAAUAAUUACACUAAGAGACAUAAUAUCGAACCUAGUACACGAGCUCCGUGGAUAUUUUGGUGACUUUUUCGAUGGUGUUCUGCCCCUGCCUGCCAACAGUAGGGUCUAACCUGAGCUGGUUUGUUUUUUCUAAUGGAGUUUUUUUAUUAACAAGAUUCUCAUUGUAGUCAUUAAUUUGGCCACUUUCUGGUCUUCUUUGUGUUUCUUGUACACAUCUCUAUCCAGCAUUCUCUUGGCUGUCAAAUAAUGGAUAGACUUCUUGACUGAAUUUUCUGUCCUGAGAUUUGAGUUUGUUUAAUGAAAAAUGUUGAUAUUUAUUCAGAACUGGUUGCGUCAACCUGAUUGCACAUUGACUGUGGGGGUUAUAAACCAGGCAAAAUUGUUUAGCUUAGAGUAGAAAACAUCUGCCAAGCUAAGGCAUAAAGCGGGCAAGCAAGUUGGUUUGUGUUUGUAUAAAGCAUUUAAAAUACAAAAAUAGAUAACUAAGUCUAAAUGGAGUUAUGUAGCAUAAGAAUCCAUUCUGCAAAAGCAAACAUGAUUCUCAAACAGAUCCAAAAAGAUAGGAAGACACAAUUUGAAACUUAAGGAGAAAAUGGCUGACAAAAGAAGUACAGAGUUAUGGAGAAUGGCAACUUCAUGGCCCUGCUCACCGAGAUGGAAAGGACCGAAAGAUGGCAUCUGAAAUGAGGUUAAUGCACAUGGUGUAUAGCCGUGCGUGUGAGGGAGAGACAUCAACAACAAACUUACCAUUAUUUCCUUUAUAUUUUUGAACCUGUCGAGAUUCUUGUGAUUGUGUAUGAUAAAGCCCAAAAAUGCGUACCUCAUGCAACUAUAACUUAUUGUUUACGAAGGUUACUUCUAAAGCUAGACACGGCCAAGAUCAUAUACUUGCCAUCAUCUUGGUCUUAGGAAAAGAAGAAAAUAUAAGGCCCAGUCCAGUAGCCAAAUAUCUUGUGUUUAAUUAUUUGAUUAGAAUGAAAUUGGCUUUUGUGGGGUUAAUUUCAAAAUGGUCAGUGAAGUGGUUUAUGUUUCCAGUUUAUGUUUUAUUUUGAACAUUAACUAGAUGUGCAGGGUUUAGUUUGAGCUUUCAUCAAUUCAUUAUAAACAUUAAUUAGAUGUGCUGGGUUUAGUUUGAUUACAUGACUUAAUGGUUUAGUUAACAAAAUAAUAUGAGGCUAAUGAAAUUAUUGGUAAAAAAUGAUAAAAUUUUAUUGAAAACUCAUGUGAUAGGCACAGAAAGUGAAAAUGUUCGUAGAGUCGAAGAAAAUAAUGAGGCAUCGGAUGAUGAAAUAGACGAUUCUGAAGGUAGGGUGUUUAUUUUAUUAAUAAUUAAUUUUCUUACUUUGUGAAGUUCAUUUACACGUUCAGCUUUUAUUAUUGGUUUCGCAAGUAUAGACGUAGGACAUUUGUCAAGGACUCUCGAUAGUCAUCCUACUCGAGGAGCGUGUAAACAAAUUAAGACAUCUAGUAUCGUUCGUACAACUUGAGAGAAAAUUCGAGUUUUAUACAAGUCAGUAAGUAGACGAGCAACAAGUUUUGAAGUAUAUAGUUUGUUGGUUCAUGAUAUCGGAGCCAUCGCUCGGUGACAUUGCCCAAUGAAUACGGGUUAUUGGCGGACCAUUUCUCCAAGUGAGAAGAAGGACCUUAUGGAUGAGAUCACGAUAAGCAAACGUAAAUGUGUUUAUACUGUUGAAAAAUUAAUAGCCAAAUAAAACUACAUGAAUCAUUUAAAAGCACAUUACUCAUUUCAUUUUGUGAUUUUAUUUAUUCUUACUUUGUGGUUUGUUUUCUAGAAUUGGAUAAUUUGUUCUACUUGUGGUUUCUUUUUAUGUUAUGAUUUUUUUAAUUAUGUCGAUUCCAGACAAACUUCGAGAUAGAUUUGAAAGACUCGAGAUUGACAAAUUAUAUUAAUAGACUAUACAAUGGGAGGUAUAAAGAGUUUAAGGCUGAGUUGAGUGCAUACUAAAAGUUGCAGAAGACACAUGAGAUGCAUUAGCCAAUUCCAGUUGGAGAUGCUUGAUAGAGGUGUAGAUCAAUGGAUGGACCUAUGUAAUCAUUUGAAUUCCAAUAAGUUCAAGGUGUUUAUUGUAUAAUUCUUUACUAGUUCACGGCUUUUACUUCUAAUUUUGUUGUGUAAUACCUAUAUAUUUUUCUUUGCAGAAAGCAUCGUCAACAAACAUAGUGAAUCGAUCGAAGAAGAAGUACAAUCAUCGUACUGGUUCACGUCCUUUAGAUGUAACCAUACUUGGUGAAUGUCAUUUAUUCGUGUUUUGAUGAAAUAUUUUGGAUUCAAUGUUAAUUGACAUUACGUUUUAAUUGAUUUGUUAUGAUUUUUAUAUCUUUAUAUUAUUUUGAAUGAGA